AUUGAACGCUGGCGGCAGGCCUAACACAUGCAAGUCGAGCGGAGCGGCGGACGGGUGAGUAAGGCCUAGGAAUCUGACUGGUAGUGGGGGAUAACGUCCGGAAACGGGCGCUAAUACCGCAUACUAUCAGAUGAGCCUAGGGCGGAUUAGCUAUGUGGUGGGGUAAAGGCAUACCAAGGCGACGAUCCGUAACUGGUCUGAGAGGAUGAUCAGUCACACGGGAACUGCGACACGGUCCAGACGCCUACGGGAGGCAGCAGUGGGGAUUAUUGGACAAUGGGCGAAAGCCUGAUCCAGCCAUGCCGCGUGUGUGAAGAAGGUCUUCGGAUUGUAAAGCACUUUAAGUUGGGAGGCGUUACCAACAGAAUAAGCACCGGCUAACUUCGUGCCAGCCGCCGCGGUAAUAC
rnacentral:rRNA from 1 species